AACAUUCCCCAAGUUUUGCUUUUCAAGUCCAUUACUCUCAGUUCAUGUCUCUGUUUGGUUUCAUAAUCUUGCUUCUCACUACCGUCCUUGGGAAGAAGAUAUUUUCCCUUGCAACUCUGGUUAGCUGGUGAUCCUCUUCUUUGUCUUCUUCUGCUCUUCGCUUUAUGAUCUGAACUGUCAUUGUUACUCUCCCUCACUCUCUACAGCCUUAUCCAUUGGUAGUACUUUUCUCUCUAAUGCAAUUCCUGGUGUCUUUAGGCACAUCUUUGAUCCUUUAAUGGUGGUAUCUUUUUGAUAUUACUGACUUUCACUUUUGGUAAUUACUUGUUCUGGGCUGCUAGAAAAUUAUGUUUGGAUGAACUGUUCUUCCAUGUGCAUGAUUUCCUUCUGAUGAGGGCAAAGUGGUUGAGUUCAUCUUUUGGACGUGCAUCGUGACCAGUUUGUUACUUAUUACUCAAAUAUUAGAUUUACGCAUUUAUAGGUUAUUUCGACCUUAGGAAUAGGAACAUUUUGCACUUUAAAUGAUCAUUCAAUUUAUUGGUAACUUGACUAUUAUUCGAGCUUAUUGGAGUUCAUUGAUUAGAUCUUGUUUCCAGAUUAAAUUAACUUAGUUGGAAGGAAUAUGCUUGGAUUGGAGAAUCGAGGAGAUGGAAAUGUUUGAUAUAGAUUUAAAUCGUGGGAAGAGUCUUAAUUAAGCAUUCUGUUCCCCUCAAUUCAAAGAUACGGCUAGAAAAUCAUUAAAAUAUUUAUUAUUCUCAAACUGAAGGCAGGGAUUCUCAAAUAUACUUAUUAUAAAUCGUCUGACGUCGAACUUUUCCCAUGCUGAAAGCCUACUGAUUUUUGUACCUGCUGCAAACUUAUUAAUCUAUAUUUUCUGGUGUAGAUUUAGUUUCUUCGGCUAUUUAUUCAGAAAAUCUUUGGAAUUUGGCGAAGGAACCAUGUUUGGAUUGCAUGUAUUGAUGAUUACUAGGAGACAUGGCUGCAAAUGGUGGGAAAGGGACUGAAGAACAGAAGAGGAAAGCUAGUGAUUAUUUUGGGGCUGAAACAUGUCAAGUUCACCAAGAAUGAGAACAUCUGCGAGGAAGGAUUGGCCAGAGAGCUUUUUGAAUGGCAAUGAUAUCGGUAAUGAGGAGAAGCAUUUGGAUAGGUGCCUUACUUCCUUGGCUGGGUCUGGACCUCAUAGUGCUGGUUUAUGUUCUACAACAAGCAAUGGGUGCAUUGUUGAGGAGUUAACUUUUAGAAAUCAUAGGAACCCGAAUUCGGCUUUAGUUAGUCAUACACUUAGUUCCAGACUGCCUCAGAUAAAUCAAUCAGGUAACGAAUCUGAAUGUGUGAACUCAAGUAGAGAAACUGCACCAAAGGAUGAAGAAAAUAUAUCCGACAGGCUAAGCAAGGAAACUAGGGGAAAUGCUUCUAAUUUUUGGAGCUUGAAGUCUUUGUCCAGUAAGAAAAUGAAUUAUGACCCAGAAAAAAUUGCUGAAAAUAUAGGUAAUGGGGACAAGACGAUGACUUUAAGCAAUGCACUUCUUGUUAGCACUGCCAUGCAGGACACUUCAUCUACGUACAAUUUUUCUCCAUUGGUACUGAAACAAAAACUGAAGGGAAAGGGAGUUGUCUGCAAAGAUGCAGCAGACAACAGUGUUGAGCCCCAUGGAGCAUUUAUUGGAAAGGAGGAUAAAACACCUGCCUUUAUGGCUAAAUCUCAUUCUGAUACACUGCUGAGACCUAAUUCUGCUGCUGCUGAUAAGCCUUUGCAAAAAUUUGUCAUGUCCAGUGUAGAAUCCUCCAAUAAUGGGAUCAACUUAAGAGAGUUGUUGAUUUCUUCGGGUCAUAAAAUUAGUAAACAAGGAAGACUACAUAUUUUCAAACAAAUCCUGGAAUUUGUCAAUUUUGCACACUCACAGGGAGUUGUAUUGCAACACCUAAGACCCUCUUGUUUCACUUUAUUGCCUUCAAAUAAAGUUAAGUACACUGGUUCAUUAGUCCAAGGAGAGUUAUAUGAUGUCCCAGCAUGCAAUACAGCUAGGAAAAGGCCCAUGGAAGAGGAUUUCUGUUCAUGCCUUAGUUUGGGUGCAAAGCAGCAAAAACUCCACGAGAUAAAAUCUAUUGGGCAGCGGCAUUGCUUUAGAUCUAUUUGUGCCUGCAGGACUAAACCAGUGAAUCUUAUUGAUUCCUUCAAAACUGGAUCAAUGGGCCCAUUAAUUACAGAAAGUGUGCAGCCAAAUAGUUUUAGACACCAACAUUCCACAGAUGAAAAGCAAAUAAUUGACGUGACUGCCCAGUUGGAAGAGAAGUGGUAUUCUAGCCUGGAAGUUCUCAAUGAUGGAGGCUGUACAUUUUCAUCCAAUAUUUAUAGGCUUGGGGUUCUGCUCUUUGAGUUGCUAUGCAAUAUUGAGUCUUGGGAAGUGCAUUCAGAAAUGAUGUUGGAUCUGCAUCAGCGAAUCCUACCACCAAAAUUUCUAUCUGAGAAUCCAAAGGAAGCUGGAUUUUGUCUUUGGCUUUUGCAUCCUGAACCUUCUUCUCGUCCCACUACUAGGAUGAUUUCGGAAUCUGAAAUAUUCCGUGAUUUAGUGAAAUUGAAUUCUCAAGAUGAUGAUAUCUUGGUGUCUGAUGAUGAUGAAGCUGAAACAGAGCAACUGAUAUAUUUUUUAACCUCACUUAGAGAAGGAAAGGAAAGACAGACUGCCAAAUUAGCUGAAGAGCUAAGUUGCUUAGAAGAAGAUAUUAAAGAGGUUGAAAGAAGGUAUUCGCUUGGGGCAGCUUCAUUAUUUCCUAUGGAAAAAAAUGGCUUUUCUAAAUUCAGUAGAAACAGUUCUCAUCUUCAAGAUCCUUUCAGUUCAGAUAUUAGCAGAUCAAUUCAGGCAUCAUGUGUUAAUGAAGCCAGAUUUAUGAGAAAUAUCAAUCAGCUAGAGACUGCAUACUUCUCCAUGAGAUCCUGGAUCCUGCUUACAGAAGAUGCAGCUGUUGCGCCUUAUGAUAAAGAUGUGCUAAAAAGUAGAUGGAGAUUGUCUCAAGCACAUAAUGACAAUGAGGAGCAAAGAAUAAAACGGAGAUCCACUGAUCGUCUUGGAUCCUUCUUUGAAGGUUUAUGCAAGUUUGCUCGUUACAGCAAGUUUGAAGAGUGUGGCAUAUUAAGAAGUCAAGAUCUUCUUAAUUCUUCCAAUGUAAUGUGUGCAUUAAGUUUUGACCGUGAUGAGGACUACAUUGCAGCUGCUGGAGUUUCAAAAAAAAUCAAGAUUUUUGAUGUCAGUGCAAUUUCCAGCAAUUCUAUUGACAUGCAGUACCCCAUAGUUGAGAUGUCUAAUAAAUCAAAGCUUAGCUGUGUGUGCUGGAACAGCUAUAUCAAAAGCCAUUUGGCAUCUACUGAUUAUGAUGGUGUAGUUCAGAUGUGGGAUGCAGACACUGGUCAGCCAUUUUCUCAAUACAUGGAACACCAGAAGAGAGCAUGGUCCGUUCACUUCUCUCAGUCCGACCCUAAAAUGUUUGCUAGUGGAAGUGACGACUGCUCUGUGAAACUAUGGAACAUCAGCGAGAGAAACUCCAUUGGCACCAUAUGGAACCCCGCCAACGUAUGCUGUGUUCAGUUCUCUUCUUACUCAACAAAUCUUUUAGUUUUUGGAUCAGCUGAUUACAAAAUCUAUGGUUAUGAUCUUCGGCACACUAGAAUCCCUUGGUGCACAUUAUCUGGUCACGGGAAAGCUGUCAGCUAUGUAAAAUUUCUGGACUCUGAAACACUCGCCUCAGCUUCCACAGACAGCUCUUUGAAGCUUUGGGACCUGAAGAAAACCAGCUCUUCGGGGUUGUCUUCCGGUGCCUGUAGCUUAACCUUUAAAGGCCAUACUAACGAAAAGAACUUUGUGGGUUUGUCUGUCGUUGAUGGAUACGUUGCGUGUGGUUCAGAAACUAAUGAGGUGUAUUGUUAUCACAGAUCUCUGCCAGUGCCUAUCACUUCUUACAAAUUUGGAUCCAUUGAUCCCAUUUCUGGACAAGAAAAUAUUGAUGAUGGUAAUGGGCAGUUUGUCUCUAGUGUCUGCUGGAGAAAGAAGUCUGGAAUGCUUGUUGCUGCUAAUUCAAUUGGAGCUGUAAAACUAUUGAAGAUGGUCUGAUAGGAAGUCAGGAAAGAUGACGAAUGGUGUCACUAAAUAUUACUGUGCGCUUAUCAGCAGACUGGGAAAAGGCUGAAUGAGGGUCCAAUGGCAUUGGUUCAAAGGAGCAUGUUGGUGGAUUUAUUUUCAGUAGAUAGUUCAUCCUUUCUGGUGGUUGGUUCACAAUAUGCCAUGAGGAACAUUCACUCACCUAAUUCAUAUAAGCUGCUGAUCAACAAAUAUAUGAAACAUGUGCAGAGCAGGCUUGAACUGCAUGACUGCUGAAACUGAAGCCUGUGAGUCUUUUUAACACUGUGACACUACCACUGAUGCAUCUAACUAUUUGAUCACUACAGUACGCUGGCCUAAGCAAAAUAUAGAAGCUUUUGAUUCAACAAAUUCUGAUCUAGGGCCGACUUUCCUCGUCAACAAGCUGGGAUACGAGGCUGACCUUAAAUGCUUACUUGAAAUUUCAGUGAAGGCUAGGAAAUCCAUCAAGCAUUGAAUGAGCCUGGCUUUUCAACUAUCUAUUGGUGUGAUUACAAGAAGGCAACCACAAAAAUCUAUACAACUACUAUCCUUUUUCAUAAGCUGCUUAUGUCAAGAAUGCCUAUGUUCAAACUGGUAAAAUUUCUGGAAGCAAGUUUAAUUAUGUGAUCAUAAAUGAGCAGAAAUUUGAGUAUAUAAUGGUCAAACUGCUUGCAUGGUACCCGAAGAUCUCGUGUUGGUAAGCUGAUAUCUAAGGAAGCUCAGAAUCUGAGACAUGACAAGGAGAUGCUCUUCUAAUUCUUGAACUAAAUGUCAUUAGGUGGCUCCCUGAAGUCAACUUAAGACUUCGGGAACAAAGAGACACCCGUGGAGGCCUGUUCGAUUGUCUAUUUGUUGUAACUGCAUUGCAAAUCAAUUGAAGAUGUCAGAAAGCAAUUAUGUUUUUAUUCAAAUAUUGAAUGAAGAAGUUAAUGCAAGAAAAGAAGGCAAGUCAGGGCAGCCUUUGAACGAAUUCUUCUUUAUACUGAGAUGUCUACAUUGCAGAUGCAACUGAAUUGCUUUCUCAGGCGCGAAUGUAUCCAUAUUAUGUUUUUAUUCAGUGAUCAUAUCCAAAUUUCAGGACACAGAAUAGUCGGCACUGUAUAUAUCAAUUAUUUCUUGCAUGUUUUCUAUGUAUUUCUCCAUUCAGUAGUUCUGUUUUCAAAAUAUUCGGUAAAAUGAGGUCAUAUUCUGCAGUCGAGCAAAGACAGACUCCGUCGUUCAAACUGCUUCCUUUUGGCUUGCUGAA